AUUGAACGCUGGCGGCAGGCCUAACACAUGCAAGUCGAGCGGAUGAAGGGAGCUUGCUCCUGGAUUCAGCGGCGGACGGGUGAGUAAUGCCUAGGAAUCUGCCUGGUAGUGGGGGAUAACGUCCGGAAACGGGCGCUAAUACCGCAUACGUCCUGAGGGAGAAAGCGGGGGAUCUUCGGACCUCACGCUAUCAGAUGAGCCUAGGUCGGAUUAGCUAGUUGGUGGGGUAAAGGCCUACCAAGGCGACGAUCCGUAACUGGUCUGAGAGGAUGAUCAGUCACACUGGAACUGAGACACGGUCCAGACUCCUACGGGAGGCAGCAGUGGGGAAUAUUGGACAAUGGGCGAAAGCCUGAUCCAGCCACGCCGCGUGUGUGAAGAAGGUCUUCGGAUUGUAAAGCACUUUAAGUUGGGAGGAAGGGCAGUAAGUUAAUACCUUGCUGUUUUGACGUUACCAACAGAAUAAGCACCGGCUAACUUCGUG
rnacentral:rRNA from 1 species